rnacentral:lncRNA from 1 species
GUUUUCUGCUGCUCCAGAGAAGCGGACACGGAGCAAUGGAUCCAAACUACAAGAAAGAAGAUUCCACCUAAACCUUAGGAAGAACUUCCUGACAGUAAGAGCUGUUCGCCAGUGGAAUUUGCUGCCAAGGAGUGUGGUGGAGUCUCCUUCUUUGGAGGUCUUUAAGCAGAGGCUUGACAACCAUAUGUCAGGAGUGCUCUGAUGGUGUUUCCUGCUUGGCAGGGGGUUGGACUCGAUGGCCC